rnacentral:lncRNA from 1 species
GGGUUGGACUAGAUGAUCUCAAGAGGUUCCUUCAAACCUCAACCAUUUUGUGAUUCAUUAUCACUGGAGCUUUUCUUCCUUUCAUUUUUAAUCAUAGAUGUGUUAGUUUUGAUGUUAAAAGAAAAUACAUACGUUUAACAUUAAGGGUCUGAGUUUUCUCAGUAUCAUUUAAGUACAUUUUUAUUUUUAGUUCUUGGCCCCGAAAGAAAAGCAAAAUGAAACUCCGCCUGCCACAGACGAAGGUGGUGACGUUGAUGAUUUGCUGGACAUGAUGUGACUGGGCACUACAAGGUGACCAUACUGGUGAAGGUUUGGAAAAGAUCUCCCUGUGAGAUGGGGCACAAAACAAGAUGCCAAGGAGAAGACAGUAUAUCCAUCUUUAUUUUCUCAAAAGGGAGUGAAUGUUACAGCUUUCAAGAUAUCACAGAAAACAGAAGUUUCUCUAAUGUGGUGUAUAAGUAGAAACACUUUCUAUCUGCUGUCUGAGACAAGG